rnacentral:rRNA from 1 species
UUGGUUAAGUUAGAAAGGGCGCACGGUGGAUGCCUUGGCACUAGGAGCCGAAGAAGGACGGGACUAACACCGAUAUGCUUUGGGGAGCUGUACGUAAGCGUUGAUCCAGAGAUUUCCGAAUGGGGGAACCCACUAUCUUUAGUCGGAUAGUAUCCUUACGUGAAUACAUAGCGUGAGGAAGGCAGACCCAGGGAACUGAAACAUCUAAGUACCUGGAGGAAGAGAAAGAAAAAUCGAUUUCCUGAGUAGCGGCGAGCGAAACGGAAAGAGCCCAAACCAAGAAGCUUGCUUCUUGGGGUUGUAGGACACUCUAUACGGAGUUACAAAAGAAAGUUAUAAAUGAAGCGGUCUGGAAAGGCCCGCCAAAGACGGUAACAGCCCGGUAGUUGAAAUGGCUUUCCCUCCAGAGUGGAUCCUGAGUACGGCGGAACACGUGAAAUUCCGUCGGAAUCCGGGAGGACCAUCUCCCAAGGCUAAAUACUCCCUAGUGACCGAUAGUGAACCAGUACCGUGAGGGAAAGGUGAAAAGCACCCCGGAAGGGGAGUGAAACAGUUCCUGAAACCGUGUGCCUACAAGUAGUUAGAGCCCGUUAAUGGGUGAUAGCGUGCCUUUUGUAGAAUGAACCGGCGAGUUACGAUUUGUUGCAAGGUUAAGCGGAAAAAGCGGAGCCGUAGCGAAAGCGAGUCUGAAUAGGGCGCAUAAGUAACAGGUCGUAGACCCGAAACCAGGUGAUCUACCCAUGUCCAGGAUGAAGGUAAGGUAAUACUUACUGGAGGUCCGAACCCACGCACGUUGAAAAGUGCGGGGAUGAGGUGUGGGUAGCGGAGAAAUUCCAAUCGAACUUGGAGAUAGCUGGUUCUCUCCGAAAUAGCUUUAGGGCUAGCCUCGAGGU